rnacentral:rRNA from 1 species
UACGUAGGGUGCGAGCGUUGUCCGGAAUUAUUGGGCGUAAAGGGCUCGUAGGCGGUCUGUCGCGUCGGGAGUGAAAACCAGGUGCUCAACACCUGGCCUGCUUUCGAUACGGGCAGACUAGAGGUACUCAGGGGAGAAUGGAAUUCCUGGUGUAGCGGUGAAAUGCGCAGAUAUCAGGAGGAGCACCGGUGGCGAAGGCGGUUCUCUGGGCCGAUAUGACGCUGAGGAGCGAAAGCGUGGGGAGCGAACAGG